GUGACCGGAAAGUUAGAUUAGGGAAGGAGAGGAUAGAUGGGAAAUGUAAACGGUAGAGAAGAGGGAGUAAAAGGGCCAGAUGAAGACGGAUCCAACGGGCAAUCAACGCCCAUCCAAACCGCCUAUUCNNNNNNNNNNNNUUGCUUCUUCGGUUCCUAUGGCUAAUGCUAGCAACGAUAAUGACAAUAAUAAUUACAUUAAUACGACACCGUCUCGCAGCCCUGCUCGCUCCGCUUCCCCUCUUUUGUUNNNNAGAUUCCUAUAGCUCCCUUUCAGAGGUCUGAUGGCCUGCCUUUUUUAAAUCAAAUGUGGCGAAAUGAAUCUCGUGGAGUUGUUGAUCAUCGUCCUGAGC
rnacentral:misc_RNA from 1 species